AUUGAACGCUGGCGGCAGGCUUAACACAUGCAAGUCGAGCGGGGUGAUGGUGCUUGCACUAUCACUUAGCGGCGGACGGGUGAGUAAUGCUUAGGAAUCUGCCUAUUAGUGGGGGACAACAUCUCGAAAGGGAUGCUAAUACCGCAUACGUCCUACGGGAGAAAGCAGGGGAUCACUUGUGACCUUGCGCUAAUAGAUGAGCCUAAGUCGGAUUAGCUAGUUGGUGGGGUAAAGGCCUACCAAGGCGACGAUCUGUAGCGGGUCUGAGAGGAUGAUCCGCCACACGGGGACUGAGACACGGCCCAGAGUCCUACGGGAGGCAGCAGUGGGGAAUAUUGGACAAUGGGGGGGGCCCUGAUCCAGCCAUGCCGCGUGUGUGAAGAAGGCCUUAUGGUUGUAAAGCACUUUAAGCGAGGAGGAGGCUCUUUUGGUUAAUACCCAAGAUGAGUGGACGUUACUCGCAGAAUAAGCACCGGCUAACUCUGUGCCAGCCGCCGCCGUAA
rnacentral:rRNA from 1 species